rnacentral:ncRNA from 1 species
AGAAAUAGAGGCGCGGUCUUUAUCAGUAGCUCUGUUUUAUCGCGGAAACGAUAUGAGCGAAAGGAAAUACCGCCGAGGCUUAAAAAGCUUUUCCGAGUUGUUUAAGCCGGGACAGCGUGGAAUACGCGCUGUACUGUCGCGUACCGCGGAGAGCUAUUCA